UCAGGUAUUAAUAUGAGACAGGAAAUAACAGCGGUCAGUGUACGCGAGAAACUGCUUUUCAAAAAAUCCAGCUAUAAUUGAUUUGACAUUUCACUUUUUUUAGUAAGUGUCAUCGCUUCUCUCACAUUUUCUCAGUCACCAUGCUGCGCUUUUGUAUCACGGUCAUGUUGUGUUUGAAAGUUUAUCUAGGAGAAGGCGCGUUGCACCAGACACCGGCUCACCAGUUUGCUGCGGUUGGUGACACCGUGGAGACUUUCUGUUCCUCCAGAGAGUGCUCUGUAGACGUGGAUAUGCUGCGCUGGUUCCUGAAGAAGGACAGCGAGGUGAUCGCUCUGAACACGAGCUGCAAGGCAGGUCCUGGGUGCAGGGUCACUACGGGACGAGCGAGCAAUGGGGACUGCGGGCUGACUAUCCGGGACGUGCAGCCCGUCGACUCCGGGGUGUAUUACUGUGCUGAAUACAGUUCUUACACCAUGGCGAUGUCCCAUGGGUCCUUACUGAUCAUCACAGACAAUUCUGCGCAAAAUACUACAGUAACUAUCCUGGCCCCCGCUGUGUCCGCCAGCGCGCUCGAUUCCAAGGGGACGCUGACAUUAGUGUGUCUGGUCCGGGGCCUCUCCUCGCCCGCACUCCUGGUUCAGUGGUUCAUCUCUGGUAACCUCACAGAGACAGCCGCUCCAAGCUCCUGGAAGGAAGGGAAGAAGGCUGGAAACGGAGAGAGCUACAGCGCCACGAGCAGGCUGACAAUCCCGGCGGAGACGUGGCGGAGCGGGGCGGUGUGCGCCUGUGGAGCGCAACUGAACUCGAGCACCGUCAUCCUCAGCAGGAAUAUCUCAUACAGAGGUGCACUGGAACCGGAAUAUGAGCGAUGCCUGGUUCACUACAGUGUCCUGGGGGGCUGUGGUAUUGUGCUGGUCUGUGUCCUCAUUGGCAGUCUUGCCUGGGCUCGUUCCUGGAGCAAGGAAGCCCGGCCACAGAGCACUCAGACCAGCAGACCCGAGGACUGUGAGGAGAGACCCGAGCUCACCUACGCGCGUUUGGAAUUCACACCCCUGAAGAAAGCGCGAAGAAAGAGGCAAGCAUAACCAGCGAUACCAAAGAUCGUCAGCGGGCUGAAGUGAGAGCCAAGCUCCUUGUUCGUUUUUUUUUUAAUAACAAAAAGCAAACCGAUACUUUUUUGUGUUUUUAACUUUUGAAUAAUGGUAGGCGCUAAACAGAAUGGGUCCUUUUCACCUUUUCCGUUUUUAACUCUCGACUGAUAGAAAACAAACUGGUUACACAUUGAAUGACAAAUGGCACUGGGACGUGAAAGGCAUUUAAAAACGUGCGCCACUUGUGACUGACAGACCGGGAGAGAGACUGAGACAGAGUCAGGUGGGAGCCGGAGCAGCAGCGGCUGUUCAGCUGGGAGCGAGCGAGGAAGCAAGCGGAGCAGCAACGCCGCGCCAGCGGGCUGCGAGAGGCGAGAGACCGGGGGUGAGCUGUCUGCAGACCCGAAGGCGGCGCUCUGCGUCAUCUAUUUAGCUGCGUGUUGAGUACAAGUGUUUUUGUAGUAUUUUAAUAUUAACAAUAAAGACUGAAUAAUUGGA